rnacentral:rRNA from 1 species
UGGGGAAUAUUGCACAAUGGGGGAAACCCUGAUGCAGCAACGCCGCGUGAAGGAAGACGGUUUUCGGAUUGUAAACUUCUUUUCUUAGUGAAGAAACAAAUGACGGUAGCUAAGGAAUAAGCAUCGGCUAACUACGUGCCAGCAGCCGCGGUAAUACGUAGGAUGCGAGCGUUAUCCGGAUUUACUGGGUGUAAAGGGAGCGCAGGCGGGACUGCAAGUUGGAUGUGAAAUACCGCAGCUUAACUGCGGAGCUGCAUCCAAAACUGUAGUUCUUGAGUGGAGUAGAGGCAAGCGGAAUUCCGAGUGUAGCGGUGAAAUGCGUAGAUAUUCGGAGGAACACCAGUGGCGAAGGCGGCUUGCUGGGCUCUAACUGACGCUGAGGCUCAAAAAGUGUGGGGAGCAAACAGGAUUAGAUACC